rnacentral:tRNA from 1 species
GGAGACAUGGCAGAGUGGUUGAUUGCGCCGGACUGCUAAUCCGGGGGCCCCCGGGGGCCGCGGAGGUUCGAAUCCUCCUGUCUCCG